rnacentral:rRNA from 1 species
AAUGAACGCUGGCGGCGUGCCUAACACAUGCAAGUCGAACGAGAAAGUCCGCAAGGAUAAGUAAAGUGGCGUCCGGGUGAGUAACACGUGGAAAUCUGCCCUUUGGUGAAGAAUACCCUCGAGAAAUCGAGGCUAAUACUGCAUAAGUCGGAAACGAGAAAGGUGGCCUCUUUGCUACCGCCGAAGGAUGAGUCUGCGGCCUAUUAGUUAGUUGGUAGGGUAAUGGCCUACCAAGACGAAGAUGGGUAGCCGGCCUGAGAGGGUGUACGGCCACAAUGGAACUGACACACGGUCCAUACUCCUACGGGAGGCAGCAGUGGGGAAUAUUGCACAAUGGGCGCAAGCCUGAUGCAGCGACGCCGCGUGAGGGAAGAAGGUUUUCGGAUUGUAAACCUCUGUUAAGUGGGAAAAAAUCCCGACGGAUAAUACCCGAUCGGGGAUGAUGGUACCACUAGAGAAAGUACCGGCAAACUUCGUGCCAGCAGCCGCGGUAAUACGAAGGGUACAAGCGUUAUUCGGAGUUACUGGGCGUAAAGAGCGUGUAGGCGGUUAGUUAAGUUAGUUGUUAAAUUCCCCGGCCUAACUGGGGACAUGCGGCUAAUACUGGCUAGCUAGAGUGCAAGAGAGAGAAGUAGAAUUCCCGGAGUAGCGGUAAAAUGCGUAGAUCUCGGGAGGAAUACCGAUGGCGAAGCAGCUUCUUGGCUUGUAACUGACGCUAAAGCGCGAAAGCGUGGGGAGCAAACAGGAUUAGAUACCCUGGUAGUCCACGCCGUAAACGAUGAUCACUGGAUAUGGGUUUGACGUUGUC